rnacentral:rRNA from 1 species
GUGCCAGCAGCCGCGGUAAUACGUAGGGGGCAAGCGUUGUCCGGAUUUACUGGGCGUAAAGCGCGCGUAGGCGGAGGAAGAAGUCCGGUGUGAAAGCCCACGGCUCAACCGUGGAAGGUCGCUGGAAACUCUUCUUCUUGAGGGCGACAGAGGGAAGUGGAAUUGCUGGUGUAGCGGUGAAAUGCGUAGAUAUCAGCAGGAACACCCAUGGUGAAGGCAGCUUCCUGGGUCGGCCCUGACGCUGAGGCGCGAAAGCGUGGGGAGCGAACGGGAUUAGAUACCCCCGUAGUCC